rnacentral:rRNA from 1 species
CCUACGGGAGGCAGCAGUGGGGAAUUUUGGACAAUGGGCGCAAGCCUGAUCCAGCCAUGCCGCGUGCGGGAAGAAGGCCUUCGGGUUGUAAACCGCUUUUGUCAGGGAAGAAAUCCUUUGGGCUAAUACCUCGGAGGGAUGACGGUACCUGAAGAAUAAGCACCGGCUAACUACGUGCCAGCAGCCGCGGUAAUACGUAGGGUGCGAGCGUUAAUCGGAAUUACUGGGCGUAAAGCGUGCGCAGGCGGUUAUGCAAGACAGAUGUGAAAUCCCCGGGCUUAACCUGGGAACUGCAUUUGUGACUGCAUAGCUCGAGUACGGCAGAGGGGGAUGGAAUUCCGCGUGUAGCAGUGAAAUGCGUAGAUAUGCGGAGGAACACCGAUGGCGAAGGCAAUCCCCUGGGCCUGUACUGACGCUCAUGCACGAAAGCGUGGGGAGCAAACAGGAUUAGAUACCCUGGUAGUCCACGCCCUAAACGGAUGUCAACUGGUUGUUGGACGGCUUGCUGUUCAGUAACGAAGCUAACGCGUGAAGUUGACCGCCUGGGGAGUACGGCCGCAAGGUUGAAACGUCGAAAUGAAUUGACGGNGNGAGAGNGCGAGGACGACGACGAGGGAGGAGG